rnacentral:tRNA from 1 species
GGGGUUGUAGCUCAGCGGUAGAGAGCUCGCCUCACACGUGUGGGGUACUGGGUUCAAUCCUCAGCACCACA